AGAGUUUGAUCAUGGCUCAGAAUCAACGCUGGCGGCGCGCCUAACACAUGCAAGUCGAACGAGAAAGCGGGAGCAAUCUCGCAAGUACAGUGGCGUACGGGUGAGUAACACGUGGAUGAUCUGCCCUGGAGUGGGGAAUAACGCUGGGAAACCGGCGCUAAUACCGCAUAUUCCCGAGAGGGGAAAGCAGCAAUGCGCUCGAGGAGGAGUCCGCGGCCGAUUAGCUAGUUGGCAGGGUAAAAGCCUACCAAGGCUAUGAUCGGUAGCCGGCCUGAGAGGGCACACGGCCACACUGGCACUGAAACACGGGCCAGACUCCUACGGGAGGCAGCAGUGGGGAAUCUUGCACAAUGGGGGAAACCCUGAUGCAGCGACGCCGCGUGAGCGAUGAAGCCCUUCGGGGUGUAAAGCUCUUUCGGCAGGGAAGAUUAUGACGGUACCUGCAGAAGCAGCUGCGGCUAACUACGUGCCAGCAGCCGCGGUAAUACGUAGGCAGCAAGCGUUGUUCGGAGUUACUGGGCGUAAAGGGUGUGUAGGCGGCCUGUUAAGUUCCGUGUGAAAUCUCCCGGCUCAACCGGGAGGGUGCGCGGAAUACUGACGGGCUAGAGUGCGGGAUGGGAGAGUAGAAUUCCUGGUGUAGCGGUGAAAUGCGUAGAUAUCAGGAGGAAUACCGGUGGUGUAGACGGCUCUCUGGACCACAACUGACGCUGAUGCACGAAAGCUAGGGGAGCAAACAGGAUUAGAUACCCUAGUAGUCC
rnacentral:rRNA from 1 species